UACGUAGGGUGCAAGCGUUAAUCGGAAUUACUGGGCGUAAAGCGUGCGCAGGCGGUUAUGUAAGACAGGUGUGAAAUCCCCGGGCUUAACCUGGGAACUGCAUUUGUGACUGCAUAGCUAGAGUACGGGUAGAGGGGGAUGGAAUUCCACGUGUAGCAGUGAAAUGCGUAGAUAUGCGGAGGAACACCGAUGGCGAAGGCAAUCCCCCUGGGCCUGCACUGACGCUCAUGCACGAAAGCGUGGGGAGCAAACAGG
rnacentral:rRNA from 1 species